UACAGAGGUCUCAAGCGUUGUUCGGAUUCAUUGGGCGUAAAGAGCGUGUAGGCGCCAGGUAGGUCGGUUGUGAAAACUGGAGGCUCAACCUUCAGACGUCGACCGAAACCAUCUGGCUAGAGUCCGGGAGAGGAGAGUGGAAUUCCUGGUGUAGCGGUGAAAUGCGCAGAUAUCAGGAAGAACCACCCGUGGCGAAAGCGGCUCUCUGGAACGGUACUGACGCUGAGACG
rnacentral:rRNA from 1 species